UCCCGGUCAUGGCCACUAGGAGAGACGCCGCCCAGUGGCUCACUGGCCCGCGCAUGGGCCGCCUUAAGCUAGCUUCCUCCUGCCUCCAGUGAAGCAGAUCAAGGCACAGAAGGAAAGUUCAGGUUCUCACGAUGUGGCCCUGACAUCCUGAAACUGGCUGUCUGUAGAUCACCUUGUCCUAGAACAUUCAGAGAUCCAGCUGCCCCUGCCUCCUGAGCACUGGGAUUGAAGAUGUGUGUCACCGUGGGCAGAGUCUCAGGUGACAGGCCACCUGCUGACAUUAGUUGUCUCCUGUUAAGUGGUACCAGAAGGAUACCACACCUCUGCCCUGCCUGAUGUUCUCAGCUUCCCCCAGACUGGUUUUCCUUACUCCUCUGAGGUGUCUCCACUUCUACCCUUGACCUCUCUGGCUUUGAGGACAUCAUGAGAACUACUCUACUGGGGAAAUAGCUUCAGUCCUAGUUUGGACUGGUUUGACACUUGGCUUUGAGUAUUCCUGUCUUGUCUUAAACAACAGGGGAAAAUGCUAUCUCCAAGCCCCCUUUCCUCUUCCCCCUCUCUCUCCCCCUACCCCUACUCCUCUUCUCUUCUCCUCCCCUACUCCCUAGGUAGGGGAUCAAACCUGGGGCUUCACACAUUCUCAGCAGGUACUCUAGAGCUAAACUAUAGCCCUAUGCUUAAAAUUUGUAAAAACUUUAUUAUAAAAAACACCACACGCCAAAAUUACCCGGAAGUCCACACAUCUCAGAAAACGUCUACAGGGUUCGAAUGCCAUUCUCAGUGUGGAGCUGCACACUGGACCUCACACCUCCCUACUGAAUAUACUCUGUGCACUUACGCACCGGUCUUAGUUUGGGUUUCAUUUCUGUGAAGCGAUACCAUGACCAUGGCAACUCUUAUAACAGAAAACAUUUCAUUAGGGCUGGCUUCACGUCCAGAGAUUUGGUCCGUUAUCUUCAUGGUGGGGAGCACAGCAGCAUGCAGGCAGACAUAGUGCUGGAGAGAUAGCUGAGAAUUCUACAUCUUGAUCUGCAGACAGCAGGAGACACUAGGAGCAGCUUAAUCCUAGGAGCCCUUAAAGCCUGCCCUGACAGUGACCCACUUCCUCCAAUAAGACCACACCUACUCCAACAAGGCCACACCUCCUAGUAGUGCCACUUCCUAUGGGCCAAGCAUUCAAACACGUGAGUCUAUGGGGAUCAUGCCUAUUCAAACCAUGACCACCAAAACCAAAAAAUCCAUGACAGGGUUAAAACUAGGAAAACAGUUAACGUUAUAUCCUCUGUCAUUAUUGUGUUCAUCUUUAUCCAGUCCUCCUCAGCCCCUCACAUUUAGCCUUUCUUCUCUUCAUGCUGUGCUGUGUCCACAUGUGCGCUGGUUUACAGGUAUGUAUAUAUAUUAUUGGCAGGUUCUGAAUAUGAAGGAGAAAAUGGUGGGGUUUGUUUUCUGAGCAUAUUUCUAAGUCAAGAUCUUACUAUAAACCCCACAGUUUGAGGCUGGUCUCAAACUCUCCUGAAUGCUGGAUUUUCAGCCCUCUCAGCAUGCCUGCCUGGAGUACCUCUAAACUCUACAGCUUAAAGCUGACCGAAUGCCAGACAGGAUCUGCAUGGAGUUUGGGAACAAGAGGGGACCUUGUAAAUGGAGAAAGCCUACAGGUUGAGAAAAGGAGAUGUUCAAAGUAGAUCCUAGAGGCCCACGGUGAGGCCUGAGUCCAGGUUAGAAACGGAGAAGAGGAAAGCCGGGCACACACGUGAAGCAGGAGGAGGCCUGGGUAAGGCAGGCACUGAAGCAGAAGGCCAAGGAGAGCUUUCCUCCCCCAGGAGGAUGUUUGUGCAGGGCUAGAAGAGAUACCUGAGGAAAUUAACAGUUGGGAGUCAGGACACCUGCACCUCAGGGCAUGACUAAGCCAGAAAAGGGAAAAGCGAAACAAAAGUCACAGUUUCCACGGGGGAAUUUCCCAGAACAACCAACAAUAACUGAGGAACCAACCCC